rnacentral:lncRNA from 1 species
GAAGGACUGUAAGGUGUACAUGUCCAACUGGCAGGUGUCAUCCGACCUUGACCUCAUUUUCAUGGUUCAGUGGUGAUAGUUAAAUUUUUGUGUUUUGGUCUGUUUUUCUCAUACUAUAUGCAAUAAGGUCUACUAUAUUUGUUGUAUGGAAUGAUUGUAAGGUGUACAUGUCUAGCGGGCAGAUGUCAUGUGACCUUGACCUCAUUUUCAUGGUUCAGUGGUCAAAGUUAAGUUUUUGAGUUUUGGUCCUUUUAUCUAAUACUAUAUGCCAAGGGUCAACUGUAUUUGGUGUAUGGAAAUAUUUUAUGAUCUUCAUGUCAGUCACGCAGG